AGACAGCAAAAUAUGAACGAAACUAUUAAUUCAAACAGUUAUUAACUGAAGUACAAAAACGCUAGACAAUGAAAAAAAGUGAUCUCAUAUACGUUUUAGAUAUUGCGAAACAGCUAAAAAUGGUAUUUGAACUAUAUAGCAAUUACGGUAUUAAUUAUUUACAGAAUAAUGUAAUUAAAUUAUUGUGGAAUUUUUAUUUUUUGAAGUUUCUCAAAUGGCAAGCUUACGACUUAAUAAAUUCACUCGACAACGCCAAGCUAGAGUAUUUUAAGGAAUUUGAUUUAUUUACAAAGCCAAGAUAAACGUUUUGAGACAACUUAUUUUGACAACGUUUCUUCGGAUCAAGGGAAACUUUCAAAAAUGAAGUAUUUUGCAACUGAAGUAUAAAUAUACAUGGGGAGUAGUAAGUAAUUGCUAUCCGAUUUUUAACAGCUUAUAUAAAACGAGCUCAUUUCAACCGAAUCUAGCUUCUCGAUGGUAGAUAAAAUGAACAUUAUGUAUUAUGCGAGGGAAACAACAAAACCAAUGAAAAAUGCAAGACGAUAUAGAUAAAGGAGAAGAUAAAGACCAAAUGUGAUUUAAAUAGAAAAAGUGAGGUCGAAGCAAAUGGUCAAUUUAAAAACUCAGCGAAAGAAAUGAUUUGGUCCAAUUUUUGUGAACCAUUGAACAUUGCCCCAAAUGCUGACGAAGUGUAGACAUCCACUCAUCUUUUUCGCCGACGGUUUCAGCGUAAAAAUCGAUGUAGUCCCCAUUACUGAAAAUGAUACGGAAACCCGAUUCGAAAUACAGAUACCCUUCUAGUUCUUCUUCAUCACUAUAAUGGUUGUCAUCCACGAUAUGUGUGGCUUCAGACAAAUCAAUCGUUGCUCUGCGAACUUUAGAGAAUUGUUGAAAAGCUACUAACUUUGAUCCUAUUAAUUGAAAAUAGCGACGACGCCAAUAAGGGCAAUCCCCACCUUGUUGACAUAGAUAACCAUCACACAAUAAAGUUCUAUCCCAUUCAGCAAGCUUUAAGUCAUACAUGGCAGACUCGAUUGAAGCGGGAAGUUCUUUCAGAGAGACAGGAAGCGCUGGUAAGAAAAAUACGUGGAUUUCGAGUUCUCCUACUUUUCGAGGGAGAGGCUUGACAUCUUUAGCUGCCGGAUCAACAGUCCAUUUGUUCAUGAUUGGUAGAACCAUAGAUUGACAACGGCCUAGUGCGGUUCGGCUUACAGAAUCAGUGUUAAUGGUAACUUCGCCGAAAGUUCCAUCUUCAGAAACAAAUCCAUGAAGUGCUUCUGAAACGGGGUCGGUAGUCAUAGACUUUCUCUUAUUUGUUGAAAAUACUUUUCCAAGUGUAGAACGAGUGCGAACCUUAGGUGGAUCGUAAGCCGCACGGAGCGUACAUACAAUUGAAGAACUAAUACUUUCAUCAAAAGUAUACUCAUUUUCAAUUUUAGUAGUAGAGUGUAAGGCGUUCCAUGGUACUUGAAUGUGCUUACCAGAGAUUGUAUAAGUGAACCUAGUGGUCAUCCCCGAUGCCAAAGGAAUAGUUAAGUUUCUGAUUUCCAUAAGACGGACAAACAAUCUUCCACUCCCGCCGGUUUGUUGCAAACUACUGGACAAAUUUCGCGAUAACGAUUCUGGCAUAUAACAAGAAUUGACAACGCGCCGCGAAGUUUGCAUUUCUUGUUUCUGACUAGUGGCAUGUACAACUUUAGAAUUCUGUCGUAGCAAAUAUGUCCUAGUCAAAGCGUCAAAGGCUGAAAGAACAUUUGUAAAGCGAGGAUCUGGUAAAGAAACCACUUUUGGAAGAAGCGGUAUCGGAGCAUUUUCGUCAAGAACAUGAGGGGAAUCUAAAGAGGUGAUGGAGCUCGUAAGUGGCUCUUCGUAUUCAUGAAUAGAAUCUGAACGGUAGAUAUCAGUCCUACAAUUCUCUCGGUUCUCAUCUGCGAAUGAUAAGCGAGGAGGUGUCUUUAUAUCUUGGAACGAGGACGAAUCUUCAGAGAAACCAAAAGAUGCAAUACUGUUUAUACCUUCGCCAAGACCAACCAUGUCACUAACACUGCUAACUAUACUGUUCGUAAAACUAGUGUCAGAUGAAUUAUGAGAGUGAGUAGGUAACUCAAGUUUGACAGGUGGUGAAAUUGAAACUUCUUCAAAUUCAGCUGGCAAUGUGUCCUCGUUAAAAAGCUUUGAAUUACAAACGGAACGAGCAGGAUUUUUUUUAGGAAUUGGUAUGUCGCCAUGGCCCUGGUUAGAUGAAUUACUCUUUAUCGAGUUGCGUGGAGUCGAGCUACGACUGCUUUUAUUUGAAGCCUCAUCAUCAGAUAAUUUGAUCAAACAUGAAUCGUUCAAUGACAGUAUGUUCUCUUUGUUUACGUCUUCAACACUUGUACUACUACUAUCCGUUUCAUUCAUGACAGAGUAAGUUGGGGUCCUACGAACUUCUGUAGAAAAAGGAAGAAGAGACUGAUGAUCAUCAAAACUGGAAGAAUUUGAUAACGUUUGAUCAUAAGGGAAACUAUCGCCAUCUUCAGCAUCCUCAGAUUCAGCAAAAGAAGGGGCCGUAGACGAGAUGUUACUGCGAUUAAAAUUUCUCAUUGUACUUUCUCGAGAUAUCGAUGCGAUUGUAGAGGCAUAGUCAGAACAUUCGUAAUCAGUACUUGGGAUGGGAGAAGGAAUUCUCAAUGCUCUAUGGAUGUCAGCUAAAUACAUUUUAGCAUGCUGAUCCUGUUGAGAAGCAGUCAUCAACAUUAUGGAAAGCCUUGGAAUUUAACAGCUCUGCUGAAAUUAGAAUAUAAAAAAAAAUAAAGGCACAAAGAAUUAAGGGUUUUUAUUUAAUUGGUAUUCGGAUUACAAGGCUAUUCCGUAUGGAUUAUUGUAUACAAAUAACUGAAACAGUUUCAGUAUAUUCCAGAAGGUACACCGAAUGUGAAAUAAAGAAAUUCAAGUGUUUUGGUAGGCGCGUUGCUUAAUAUAAAGGAAGGAGGCGAGCAUAUGAUUGAGAGGCUGGUAAAUCCAUUUUCGGCAAAGGUGGCUGGUAUCACUCGAAAAUCCAGUUUUCCAGCACAGAAGCGAGAGAGUGGUUACAUCAAGCGGAUCAUUUAAACCGAAGUCUAAGAGCCAUUGGUGGACGCAGCUAGUUUUACAAUCCCUUGUUAGACCGAAUUGUCGCAUAUUACUGUUCUUCAAAAGCAAAUCCACAAUGUACGCAAACAUAAAUCAGAGUCUAAUUAAGUCAGUAAAAUUGUUUUUAAACCUAAAUAUUAAAAUUGUUUUCUCAAUGAAACAAUGCGAAACACACCAUCAUAGUAUCACCCCGACGAGAAUGAGUCUGAUAAAAAACUGCUUCAUGUUGAUGACAACGCGGGCAUUCUUUGUCUGAUCUAGGUAAAGUAGGGUCCGUUGAAGCGUCGUGACUGACCGUCGUGUUUUCUCUACAAAUUUAGUGAUUAUUCGAAGGAUGAAAUCUAACUUACACAUUGGAGCUUUGUAACUCAUGGCGAUAAACUUUACUAGUAGCAGCGAUCUAUACAAAUUAGCUGAUGAGAUAUUUAAAACUUCCAAAUGAUGAGGAAAAAAGUAAUCGAAAAGAACUUCGAAUUUUUUUCUUGAAGUGAAUAAACCCAGUAGGAGAAAAAAACAAGCUUACCUCUGAGUAAUCACAAUUACGACAAGCUAGCCUCAGAACACGAUCCACUUUAUCCUCUCUAGGGUACCUAUUUAUUUCAUGUUAGUGUUUUCAAACAAUUUUCAGUGUCAUCUUUUUGAGAAACUAAUCCGUACAGCAUAUUAUUGCAUUCUAUACAAUAUUGAAAAUUUGACAUUUUAAAAAAGCAAACAAAAGUAUUUUACUUCAACGCAAUAAACUUUCAAAAGAACGUGGUGGUUAGUGGAUAUGGAAAAUACAGUGGACAACAGCGUCCUGAUGGUUCACAUCUAUAAGUUCGAAAAAGCUUUUGUUUAUCUACAACGUCUCUACAAGAUUUCGUUAAAAACUGUGUAGCUGCUUUAAAAUUUAUUUGCGAUAUACUUAAUAUUACUAAUUAUAUAGAAG